rnacentral:rRNA from 1 species
UACGUAGGGUGCGAGCGUUGUUCGGAGUUACUGGGCGUAAAGCGCGUGUAGGUGGUCAAGCAUGUCGGGUGUGAAAGCCCUCGGCUUAACCGAGGAAGUGCAUCCGAAACUAUUUGGCUAGAGUACGGGAGAGGAGAGUGGAAUUCCCAGUGUAGAGGUGAAAUUCGUAGAUAUUGGGAGGAACACCGGAGGCGAAAGCGGCUCUCUGGCCCGUUACUGACACUAAGACGCGAAAGCGUGGGGAUCAAACAGG